GGAGCGAAAUUUAGUAGCGAAGUAGCUGAUUUCACACUGUCAAGAAAAGUCUCUAUCGAGGUUAAAGGUACCCGUACCGCAAACCGACACAGGGGGGUGAGGAGAGUAUCCUAAGGCCAGCGAGAGAACUGUUGUUAAGGAACUCGGCAAAAUGACCCCGUAACUUAGGGAUAAGGGGUGCCACCAUCAGGUGGCCGCAGAGAAUAGGCCCAAGCGACUGUUUACCAAAAACAUAGGUUUCUGCUAAGUCGCAAGACGAUGUAUAGGAGCUGACGCCUG
rnacentral:rRNA from 1 species